UACUAGCUAGCGAAGGCACAGCCGAGGGGACAGGCCUGGGAUAAUCAGCGUGGAAAGAAGCCCUGUUGCGCUUGACUCUAGUCUGACAUUGUGAAAUGACUUAGGAGGUGUAGCAUAAGUGGGAGCCUUGGCGAUCUUGAAAUACCACUACUCUUAAUGUUAUUUUACUUAUUCUGUGAAGCUGGAGCUUGCUACAUUGUGAGUUUUGGAUUUAAGAUUGAUCUUAUGAUUGGUUGAUUUGUGUGGAAGACAUAAUCAGGUGGGGAGUUUGGCUGGGGCGGCACAUCUGUUAAAUGAUAACGCAGGUGUCCUAAGGUGAG
rnacentral:rRNA from 1 species